UUCAUACUCCCUCCGUCCGAAAAUACUUGUCAUCAAAAUGGAUAAAAAGGGAUGUAUCUAGAACUAAAAUACAUCUAGAUACAUCCCUUUUUAUCCAUUUUGAUGACAAGUAUUUCCGGACGGAGGGAGUAUAUA
rnacentral:pre_miRNA from 1 species